AGCGAACGCUGGCGGCAGGCUUAACACAUGCAAGUCGAACGAAGUCUUCGGACUUAGUGGCGGACGGGUGAGUAACACGUGGGAACGUACCUUUUGGUUCGGAACAACUCAGGGAAACUUGAGCUAAUACCGGAUGAGCCCUUAGGGGGGAAGAUUUAUCGCCGAAAGAGCGGCCCGCGUUAGAUUAGCUAGUUGGUGAGGUAAAGGCUCACCAAGGCUACGAUCUAUAGCUGGUCUGAGAGGAUGAUCAGCCACACUGGGAUUGAGACACGGCCCAGACUCCUACGGGAGGCAGCAGUGGGGAAUCUUGCGCAAUGGGCGAAAGCCUGACGCAGCCAUGCCGCGUGAAUGAUGAAGGUCUUAGGAUUGUAAAAUUCUUUUACCAGGGACGAUAAUGACGGUACCUGGAGAAAAAGCCCCGGCUAACUUCGUGCCAGCAGCCGCAGUAACAC
rnacentral:rRNA from 1 species